CUGCGCAGGUGUUCGCAAUCAUUAGCUGCUCACCGUCACUCUGACCCUGGUAAUUGGAGGCAUCAUUGGCUGGAUGAGAGCUGUCUGAGACUGGGUUCCUCAGAUCUGGGCCUGGAAGGUUCCUGGUUCAACACACUUCAGUCAAAUAGCCUAAUUACACCCGCAGUAUGUAGGCAAGUUCUCAAGGAUCUAUCUUUCAGUUUUCUGAUUUGAAAAAGAUGUUUGAGCUCCUUCAGCUUAGCCUUGUUAGAAAAGACAUGGGAGGUUUUCAAACCCACAUCCCACACUGAACUCUAAUUCCGACAAAUUUAGAUUUCUUACAAAUGUUAACAAGGAUUUAACAGGACUUAUAAUUAUUCAUCAGCAAGAAGCACUGUUCCACUAAGGUGAAAUGGAGAUUAUGGAAGUAAUAAACGUUGCAGCUGAUGUUGUGAUGGCUUCCAUUACAGUCGCUCAAGCUAUAAUUAAUUCAGCGCCCAGCAGAGAAUGCAACAUUGAGAUCACAAAUUUCUCAGACCGCUACGUUCUCAAGAAUCCCGGGAUGUUCCUCUGCAGAGGAGUUUGUGUUAAACCUCUGCCAACAAGAAUUCUGCCAUCUGGAUGUGGAGGUGCGUUUUUUGCCAAGACGCCGCGGACACGAUUUGGAUUUUCUGGCGUCACCACCUAUGACCUUCUCAACAGCUCCACUGGAAAAAUCACUGAGCAAAUGGCCUUGUUUCUCAAGGUUCCUUAUGAUCUGAACUUUAAGGCAAAUGUAUACGCAGUGGGAGUUUUUGAUGUUUGCAAGGGAUGUAAUGUAAAUCUCCAUGAAGAAAUGGCAAAUAAAACAGACGUAACGUUUAUUAGAGGCAAUGCCAAGGGCCCCUCCUUGACUCAUAAAAGCAAAGAUGUAACCAUAAGUGCUACAAUGUCAGAGAGCUAUUCUUCUGUGAUAAAGGUGAACUUGAGUGACAACUAACUCUUUUGUUUUUUUAAAAUACCGUACGGUUAUCAGUUAUAGAUUAAGGUUAAACGGGUGAAACACCACACCAAACAUUAAGUUGCUUACUUUUAACAUUGGUGGGACUUUGAAAUAGGACAAAGAUGAAGACUUACGCAUGCCAAUAUCUCUAACAUGUUCAUUAAAGGGUUUUAUUUUUCAGCAUAAUUGCAAGUUC